GACCAUAUACUGUGUCAUCAUAUCAAUGGUGCUCUAUAGACUAGCUAAAGUAGCUGCCAUUGGAUCCAUAGGACCUUGGCCGUGAAAGACUGUUCUUGAACUGGUGGCUACUGCUCUUCUACUUGACCAGCUCUAGGUCUCCUGCCCCAUCUCCUUGGGGCAGGCGCCUCACCUUGUGUCGACACCUUGUCUGACACUUCCUGUUUUGGCACUAUGGCAGCUCUCUUACUUCUACGCAUUUUUCUAAAAUUUAGCAGCAUUACCUCACAAAAAUCUAAAACAGUAUACUCGACAUCUUUAUAGCGCAUUCUCA
rnacentral:misc_RNA from 1 species